CGCGCGCAGGGCUAUGAAUAGCGCGGCUGACGCGUGGCGCGCAAGAGGGAGCAGCCCCCGCGCUAUUUUUAGGGCCGCCGCGCCCGAAAUAGCCUCCUCUGGAGCCGCGGCCCGGCCGGGAUGACGCGGGCGCCGGCGCAGCGGCUGAAUCAGAGGCCGGCGGGGCUCAGGCGGCCCGGAACGGUCCGGCGGCCUCUGCCCCCCGAGGGGCGCGCCCCGGGACUACGAGGGCGCCGCAGCCGGAGCGGAGCCUCGAGACCCUCGACCCGCCUUCUUCGCCCGCCGCGAUCCGCGAGGAGGACUUGCUCUUUCCCCGCCGAGCCCUCGGCACCCGCGCGGCCGGAGGGAAGAGGGGCUGGCGCGCCUUGUCCGGGGGCUCGCCGCCCUUCUGCAGCCGCUCCGCCAGAGGCCGCCCGAGGGCCGCGCUCCGCCGAGCCAGCUGAACGUCGGAAGGAAUGCGGAGGCCACGGCGCCCGUCGCGUAUCUCGCUGCUGACUGGUCGGCGGGACUCUCUUGCAGCUCUUCCCAGAAGGCUCCCGCGGGGCUCUGAGCCCCUCAGCCCCCUCCCCGUUGCCUGCCCUUAGCUUGCCCCCUCCGGGCAUCCCAGGGCGGAAGGGGGUGUGAGCUUUGCCUGCUGACCAUCCCGAAAGAACAGCCAGGCGGAGGGACUGACUCUUCCUACAGUCCACAGGACUCGGCAUCAGGACACUCCCCACCCCACCCCGCCGGAAGUGUUGGAAAAAGUGGCCUGAUGGAGGAGGCCUGCACAGAGAAGAGCGCACCGCUUAGGAAUGGAAGCCUCAACAGGAAGCCUCAAGGAGGAUCAAUCCUUCCCUUCCCCACCAUCCAGUCAGAGCUGAAGAAGCUUCCUGGAUGAGAAGCAAAACGUCUUCAAAGAAAAACCAGAAAGUCCAAGUGCCUCUUGGAAAAGCACCUUCGGGACCUGAAUAGAAAGGGUUUUUUUAGGGGGGGGUUGUUGAUUGGGGGAAGCGCUGAUACCCAGAGCACCAGAGCCAGAUGGACCCUUUGCAGGCAGCAUAUCUCGUCCCAAAAUCUCAGUUUGCUGCCAGCUCAUUCCUCCAGCUGAGCCUCUUCCAUCUUCCAAUCAAUAUCCUGGGUGACCUGGAUCUCCAACCGGCCCCAUCGCUGCUUUUGCAGGUCUGGCUGAGGACAAAGCUGCUGACCCCAGUUGGCUGCUCCCCUGAGCCUGCCAGCACCUCUGAGCUGCACAUGCAACCCUCCGGGCCCAGUCCCCCCUCCCAGGGGAUAGAAGACCCACCCUGCAUGAAGAUAAGUCCACCCUUUUGUCCCGUUGGCAUUUGCUCCCUCUUUCCUAGCAGAUGUACUUCCUUUGGGAACUCCGGUAGAAAUCCAGCCACAGCUGUAGAAAAUGGAAGCCGAUGCCUGGUUGGGGAGGGGUGAAAAAGCCGUUCUCAUAUGUGUUGCACAUUGCAGGUCCUGGAAGUGAAAGGGACCGAGGGCAGGUGGGGAGUGGUCUUCUGAAUGUCCAGAAGGCACAGCUCUCGCUAACUGGGAUGUCUGGAGGGGCCUCCUUGGAAGGACCAGGCUACAACUCAGGCCGUGCCAGCCUGCUAUCUGGUUCGAAAUUUCCUUUUCUAAACAAUGUCUGGAUAUGUGGCGUGGCUGGAAUUUUGCUUCCUUACAGCUUUAGCUCAGUUGACUGAAAUUCGGUGACCACAUGACCUUGGAUUGGAGAAGGUUGUUCUGUUCUCCCCUUUUCCCUGUUUUUUGCCUUUUUUCUGAAAAAGGGCUUCAGCUGCCUAUUUGCUCUUUUUCUGCAACUUUUCGGCUGCACAGUAUCUUCCUCCUUCCUUACAGAGACACUGCAGGACAGCUGGAAACUUUGAGAUAACCCACAAGGAGAGAAAGGGACGCCAAUCUGCAAUUGCUUGUAAAAUUCCCCCAUUCCUGCAGCCAAUCCAGGGACACUUCCAUAAAUGAAGCACUCCGGGGCAAUGCCAGGCUGAGGCCAGGAAUCUAUUUCUGGGGCCCAGGUGGCUCUCCACGGAAUGUCCUUCCCUGGCCUGGAGCUUUGCAAUCAUAACAUGCAGGAACUGUCUGGGUGGUUUACUCUAAACACACCGAAGAAGAAACAAGACAAUUUAAGCUGAAAUAUACUAACAACAUCAAAUAAAAGGCAAAAUAAACUACAACUUUGACCACAGCAAGGCAGAUGUCAAACUCUAAAGAAGACCUGUCCAGCCCGCAGUCCAACAACCAGCACAUGGCCCUGGACAAUUAGUAAUGUGGCCCCACAAGAUAAUAAACAGUAUUAAAAAAUAAAAAAAAUGUUAGUUAGAUAUAUAUUAUAUCUUUUAUCUGCGGCCCAAGACAAUUCCUCUUCACUCGAUGAGCAUAGGCAAGCCAAAAGGUUGAACAACCACAAUCUAAAGCAAUACCACUAGAAUGAAUGGAAAAAGACUUGGAGGAAAAUUUGAACUUUGAUGUUAUAUAUGUUGACGGCAGCAAAAUCACUUUUUGCACAAAAAUGGAAGGACGCUUUGAUUCCCACAAUGGAGGAACGGCUGCAAAAGUUGAUGGAGUUAGCAGAGAUGGCAAAACCGACAGCUUUGAUUAAAGAAAAAAAACAUAAGUACUUUUGUUUCUACUUGGAAACCAUUUCUGGACUUUGUGCUUGAGGUAGAAACAUUAAAACUUUGAUUUUGGGUUUUA